rnacentral:lncRNA from 1 species
UGUGAUUAUCAUUAGGAGUUAGUUUAAUUUUGAAGGACUACUAUAUGUACCUGUAGCCAGUAGAAAUUUGAUUUUUAUAUCUGUGCUGGUACAGGAUAAUUAUAAUUUUUAUUUCAAUAAAGAUAUUGUUCAAUUUAUUUUGAAAAUAAAGUUGUUGCACGUGCUUUCUUGAUUGAUAGUCUUUAUCAUUUGUAUAUGGAUG